rnacentral:lncRNA from 1 species
AGAUGAUUGAGAAGCACAACUUGCUUCACAGAUGUGGAAACCGUGUAAUUCUGGGCUUCCUCCAGGAAAGAAUGAGCUUUGAUAGGCUGGAACUAAAGCUUUUCUAAAGGUGAGGCUACACGGAACGGGGAGCUGGCUACAAAUCAAGAAGCGGGCCCUCACCAGACACUGCAUCUGCUGCCACCUUGAUCUUCAACUUCCCAGCUUCUAGACUGUGAGAAAUACAUAUGUGUUGUUUAAACUGCACCAUUUAUGGUAGUUUACUAUGGAAGCCAAAACUAAGAUAAAUAUGUUGAGUCACCCGUCGAUGAUGUGGACUGGCUGAUGGUGCUAAGAAUCUACCUCUCAAAAAGCUUUUACUCCUAACCUCCCAAGUAAAGACAUGCUAUUUUCAAGUUCUUUGUUUGGGUAUUUCAGGGAAGAUUACUCUCUUUACUGCCUUAGAGAUUCCCCUUUUUCAGAUCACCAGCGGCAUCAUGUUUUUCCUACUCUGCUAUACUUCUGAGCCUCUCACUGUUUGAUGGGCGGACCCAGUCCAUGAGACUGCCCUUGUCUUAGGCUGGACAGAGCCAUGCUUUCCAUGUGACAGUGUAUCAUGUAGACCAAGCAGUAUGUCGACACUUACCUGAGGUUCAGGUGUUUCCAUGGAAGCUAGGGCCACUCAUUCAGGUUACAUGCUUAAGGACAACAGGUGCAGUCUCUUGAUAUGUAGUCUUAUUACGAUCUUCCUACCACAAUCUCAUCCCCUAUCCAAGUCCCCUUAUCUCUCACGGACCACACAACUUUAAUUCUGCUUCCCAGACAACUAUGAGGAAAAGUUUAAGCUGUUAAAAAAAAGGAGUUGAGCUGCUGUAUCUUUGUAUUGAAAUAUAAACAAUUCAAAACUCAAACAGGAAAAAAAAGUUUUUUCUUUAUAUUUUGUAAUUGAUUAAUUCUGGGAAGGGAGCAAGCAUUAUUCAGUGUAAAAGGAGAUGUUCCACCUGUGCCUCCAAUAUUUCUCUACUUGUGGCUUUUGUGAUCUGUAAAUCCCAUCCCUCCUAGAUAAGCCAUAACUCUUUUGCUGCCCCAUCUCCAAGAUCCUAGAAGAAACUAAUCUGAUACAAUUGUAAACUUAAAUGUAUAUGUCCUUGGAGUACAGUGUAACCCAGAUAUAAAAUAUCCUUAUGAUUUUCUAAACUCCAAAAUACCACCCAGAGCAAGACAUAAAUAAUGAAAUUUAAGUGAGAAUAUUGCUCAGAUAUUUAUCUUGAGUGGUUACCUGGGCGCGUGCUCUCUCUCUCUCUCAUUGUUUUAAGUAUUUUUUUUUUCUGGUUGCAUAAUACAGAGUCAUGUAUUAACAAAAUGUCAAAUUGCCACAGGUUUUGGAAUCUUGUAGUAGCUUGUUGGCAAAGAGAUACAGCAGAGAGGCUACUGUGUUUUCAUUGUAAAAAGGAUAUCUGAAGAGGGAAUAUUAACCAAAAGGGAAAUAUAAUAACAGUGUGGGAAUAAAAGAAAUUUUUGUUAUCUUCCCUUAAAAAUAAUUGUUAUUAUGUUGAAUUAUAAGAUAUCUUUCACCGUAGCUUUGUGGGUGUUAUCACAGGAGAGGGAAAAGGCUUAAUAGCAAGUAAACAAAAUUUAUAUUUUUAGGAGAGCAUUUAUUUAGAUCACACCACAUAUUGGCAUAUAAACCAGUUCCUACCAAAUGAGUCCAUUGAGAUGACAUACUUAUUUGUUGAAAUCAGUGUUGUUUUGAAAAUCAAUGUUGCAUUUACAGUCCACUUAAAAAGUAGAAUAAUUUAUUAGUCCUACUUUUAUACCCUAAACAAACACUUAAAAAAACAACACUUAAACACUUAAAAAAAUCCAUAGUAUUAAUUCUAUUUAUAUGUUAGUCUACUUUAAGAAUGUGCACAAAUGGGAGGAAAAACCAAUGGUAGAGACAGGGCAAUGAAACCCAAGUCUACCCCUCACUUUAUUACACUAGAGCUUCAACAAAAUUGUAUGAGCAAUUCUCAUUUUUCAGAAAUGUUUGACAAUCUUUUUGUUUGUUUGUUUUGUUUUUGGACACAGGGUCUCGCUCUGUUACCCAGGCUGGAGCGCAGUGGCGUGAUUACAGCUCACUGCAGCCACAAUUUCCUGGACUUAAGUCCUCAGCCUCCUGAAUAGCUGGGACUACAGGCAUGCACCACCACGCUUGGCUAUUGUUUUUUUUUAUUUUUUUGUAGAGAUGGUGUAUUAGUCCAAUCUUGUAUUUCUAUAAAGAAAUACCUGAGGCUGUGUAAUUUAUAGAUAAAAAAGUUUUAAUUGGCUCAUGGUUCUGCAGGCUAUACAGGAAACAUAGCAGCUUCUGCUUUUGGGGAGGCCUCAAGCAGCUUCCAAUCAUGGCAGAAAGCAAAGGGAGAAUGAGUCAUCUCACAUGGCCAAAGCAGGAGGAAAAGAGAGGGGCAGGCACUGCGCACUUUUAAACAAUCAGAUCUCAUGAGAACUCACUAUUGAUGACAGCACCAAGGGGAUGGGUGUUAAACCAUAAGAAACUGCUCCCAUGACCCAAUCACCUCUCACCAAGCCCCACUUCCAACAUCGGGAAUUACAGUUUUACAUAAGAUUUGGAUCGGGACACAGAUCCAAACCAUAGUAGACAGGAACUCACUGUGUUAAACAGGCUGGUCCUGAAAUCUUGGGCUUAAGCAAUCCUCCCAUCUCAGCCUCCCAAAGCAUUCUCCAAAAGUGUAUAUGUUGAAGUCUUAAACCCCAAUCCCUCAGAAUAUGACUGAAUUUGAAGAUAGGGCCAUACAAAAAGUGACUAAGUUAAGAUGAGACAGGUUGAGUCCAAAUCCAAUAUGAUUUGUGUCUGUAGAAAGAGGAAAUCUGGACACAUGCAAGAAACACCAGGGAUGCAUGUGCACAGAGGAAUGACCAUGUGAGCACAUAGUGGAGGGCAACCAACUACAAGCCAAGGAGAGAGACCUCAGAAGCAACCAAUCCCCCUGACACCUUGAUCUUGGACUUCUCAGCCUGUAGAACUGUGAAAAAAUAAAUUUUUGUUGUUUAAGACACUCAGUCUUGGUACUUUUUUAUGGCAGCCCAAGUAAACUAAUAUGUAUGCAUAUGCAGACAUAGCAAAUCCUUAUAUAGGUAUAAAUUCAUUGCUAUGUCAUAGUUGUUAGAAACAUGCAUCAGAAAAUGUUCUACAACUUUACAUGCAUUAUUUCAUUUAAUCCUCAAAAUAUAGCAACAAUGAGUUAGGUGCUAUUUUAAUGUCCAUUUUACAAAGAAGAAAUUGAGUCACAGGAGGUUUUAAUAACUAAUGUCUCACAGUCAGUCCAAAAUCAGAGUUCAAACUCAUAACCACUAUUCUCCAAAAGAAACUUUUAAAAUUAAAAAAAUAAACAAAUAAAUAAAAAUUUAGUUUUGUAGGCAUGUAAUGCAAAUUGUACACCAAUAAACCAAAAGCAUGAAGCCCCAAAACUUUUGUUAAAAACAGGGAAAAUUCAAGUGACUUUAAACCUAAUUUAGGCAUACGUGAGUGCAUGUUACCAGAUGUAUUUUUAUAAGAACAUUUCAAUGUUCAUUUUCAUGAGGAAUGUGGAUGACAUGCAAUUUUUAAAGCACUAAGAGUUGUUUUUAAUGCAGCCUAGCCUAUAAUUUUAGAGUCCCUUAGCACAUUAGUUUCAAGUAUCCAUUGGGCAAUUCCAUGAUCACAGACACAAAGUAGAUGUAACUCAGAAGAAAAUGAAAGCUAAUAACUCC